rnacentral:rRNA from 1 species
UACGGGGGGAGCAAGCGUUGUUCGGAUUUACUGGGCGUAAAGGGCGUGUAGGCGGGAAGGAAAGUCAGAUGUGAAAUCCCUGGGCUCAACCCAGGAACUGCAUUUGAAACUCCCUUUCUUGAGUGUCGGAGAGGAAAGUGGAAUUCCUGGUGUAGAGGUGAAAUUCGUAGAUAUCAGGAGGAACACCGGUGGCGAAGGCGGCUUUCUGGACGACAACUGACGCUGAGACGCGAAAGCGUGGGGAGCAAACAGG